rnacentral:tRNA from 1 species
CGGGGCGUGGCGCAGCCCGGUAGCGCACCUGCUUUGGGAGCAGGGAGUCGGAGGUUCAAAUCCUCUCGCCCCGA